rnacentral:rRNA from 1 species
UAGGGAAUCUUCGGCAAUGGACGAAAGUCUGACCGAGCAACGCCGCGUGAGUGAAGAAGGUUUUCGGAUCGUAAAACUCUGUUGUUAGAGAAGAACAAGGACGUUAGUAACUGAACGUCCCCUGACGGUAUCUAACCAGAAAGCCACGGCUAACUACGUGCCAGCAGCCGCGGUAAUACGUAGGUGGCAAGCGUUGUCCGGAUUUAUUGGGCGUAAAGCGAGCGCAGGCGGUUUCUUAAGUCUGAUGUGAAAGCCCCCGGCUCAACCGGGGAGGGUCAUUGGAAACUGGGAGACUUGAGUGCAGAAGAGGAGAGUGGAAUUCCAUGUGUAGCGGUGAAAUGCGUAGAUAGAUGGAGGAACACCAGUGGCGAAGGCGGCUCUCUGGUCUGUAACUGACGGUGAGGCUCGAAAGCGUGGGGAGAAAACAGG